UUAAGUUAUUAAGGGCGCACGGUGGAUGCCUUGGCACUAGAAGCCGAUGAAGGACGUUACUAACGACGAUAUGCUUUGGGGAGCUGUAAGUAAGCUUUGAUCCAGAGAUUUCCGAAUGGGGAAACCCAGCAUGAGUUAUGUCAUGUUAUCGAUAUGUGAAUACAUAGCAUAUCAGAAGGCACACCCGGAGAACUGAAACAUCUUAGUACCCGGAGGAAGAGAAAGAAAAUUCGAUUCCCUUAGUAGCGGCGAGCGAAACGGGAAGAGCCCAAACCAACAAGCUUGCUUGUUGGGGUUGUAGGACACUCUAUACGGAGUUACAAAGGACGACAUUAGACGAAUCAUCUGGAAAGAUGAAUCAAAGAAGGUAAUAAUCCUGUAGUCGAAAAUGUUGUCUCUCUUGAGUGGAUCCUGAGUACGACGGAGCACGUGAAAUUCCGUCGGAAUCUGGGAGGACCAUCUCCUAAGGCUAAAUACUCUCUAGUGACCGAUAGUGAACCAGUACCGUGAGGGAAAGGUGAAAAGCACCCCGGAAGGGGAGUGAAAUAGAACCUGAAACCGUGUGCUUACAAGUAGUCAGAGCCCGUUAAUGGGUGAUGGCGUGCCUUUUGUAGAAUGAACCGGCGAGUUACGAUUUGAUGCAAGGUUAAGCAGUAAAUGUGGAGCCGUAGCGAAAGCGAGUCUGAAUAGGGCGUUUAGUAUUUGGUCGUAGACCCGAAACCAGGUGAUCUACCCUUGGUCAGGUUGAAGUUCAGGUAACACUGAAUGGAGGACCGAACCGACUUACGUUGAAAAGUGAGCGGAUGAACUGAGGGUAGCGGAGAAAUUCCAAUCGAACCUGGAGAUAGCUGGUUCUCUCCGAAAUAGCUUUAGGGCUAGCCUCAAGUGAUGAUUAUUGGAGGUAGAGCACUGUUUGGACGAGGGGCCCCUCUCGGGUUACCGAAUUCAGACAAACUCCGAAUGCCAAUUAAUUUAACUUGGGAGUCAGAACAUGGGUGAUAAGGUCCGUGUUCGAAAGGGAAACAGCCCAGACCACCAGCUAAGGUCCCAAAAUAUAUGUUAAGUGGAAAAGGAUGUGGCGUUGCCCAGACAACUAGGAUGUUGGCUUAGAAGCAGCCAUCAUUUAAAGAGUGCGUAAUAGCUCACUAGUCGAGUGACACUGCGCCGAAAAUGUACCGGGGCUAAACAUAUUACCGAAGCUGUGGAUUGUCCUUUGGACAAUGGUAGGAGAGCGUUCUAAGGGCGUUGAAGCAUGAUCGUAAGGACAUGUGGAGCGCUUAGAAGUGAGAAUGCCGGUGUGAGUAGCGAAAGACGGGUGAGAAUCCCGUCCACCGAUUGACUAAGGUUUCCAGAGGAAGGCUCGUCCGCUCUGGGUUAGUCGGGUCCUAAGCUGAGGCCGACAGGCGUAGGCGAUGGAUAACAGGUUGAUAUUCCUGUACCACCUAUAAUCGUUUUAAUCGAUGGGGGGACGCAGUAGGAUAGGCGAAGCGUGCGAUUGGAUUGCACGUCUAAGCAGUAAGGCUGAGUAUUAGGCAAAUCCGGUACUCGUUAAGGCUGAGCUGUGAUGGGGAGAAGACAUUGUGUCUUCGAGUCGUUGAUUUCACACUGCCGAGAAAAGCCUCUAGAUAGAAAAUAGGUGCCCGUACCGCAAACCGACACAGGUAGUCAAGAUGAGAAUUCUAAGGUGAGCGAGCGAACUCUCGUUAAGGAACUCGGCAAAAUGACCCCGUAACUUCGGGAGAAGGGGUGCUCUUUAGGGUUAACGCCCAGAAGAGCCGCAGUGAAUAGGCCCAAGCGACUGUUUAUCAAAAACACAGGUCUCUGCUAAACCGUAAGGUGAUGUAUAGGGGCUGACGCCUGCCCGGUGCUGGAAGGUUAAGAGGAGUGGUUAGCUUCUGCGAAGCUACGAAUCGAAGCCCCAGUAAACGGCGGCCGUAACUAUAACGGUCCUAAGGUAGCGAAAUUCCUUGUCGGGUAAGUUCCGACCCGCACGAAAGGCGUAACGAUUUGGGCACUGUCUCAACGAGAGACUCGGUGAAAUCAUAGUACCUGUGAAGAUGCAGGUUACCCGCGACAGGACGGAAAGACCCCGUGGAGCUUUACUGUAGCCUGAUAUUGAAAUUCGGCACAGCUUGUACAGGAUAGGUAGGAGCCUUUGAAACGUGAGCGCUAGCUUACGUGGAGGCGCUGGUGGGAUACUACCCUAGCUGUGUUGGCUUUCUAACCCGCACCACUUAUCGUGGUGGGAGACAGUGUCAGGCGGGCAGUUUGACUGGGGCGGUCGCCUCCUAAAAAGUAACGGAGGCGCUCAAAGGUUCCCUCAGAAUGGUUGGAAAUCAUUCAUAGAGUGUAAAGGCAUAAGGGAGCUUGACUGCGAGACCUACAAGUCGAGCAGGGUCGAAAGACGGACUUAGUGAUCCGGUGGUUCCGCAUGGAAGGGCCAUCGCUCAACGGAUAAAAGCUACCCCGGGGAUAACAGGCUUAUCUCCCCCAAGAGUUCACAUCGACGGGGAGGUUUGGCACCUCGAUGUCGGCUCAUCGCAUCCUGGGGCUGUAGUCGGUCCCAAGGGUUGGGCUGUUCGCCCAUUAAAGCGGUACGCGAGCUGGGUUCAGAACGUCGUGAGACAGUUCGGUCCCUAUCCGUCGUGGGCGUAGGAAAUUUGAGAGGAGCUGUCCUUAGUACGAGAGGACCGGGAUGGACAUACCUCUGGUGUACCAGUUGUCGUGCCAACGGCAUAGCUGGGUAGCUAUGUGUGGACGGGAUAAGUGCUGAAAGCAUCUAAGCAUGAAGCCCCCCUCAAGAUGAGAUUUCCCAACUUCGGUUAUAAGAUCCCUCAAAGAUGAUGAGGUUAAUAGGUUCGAGGUGGAAGCAUGGUGACAUGUGGAGCUGACGAAUACUAAUCGAUCGAAGACUUAAUCAA
rnacentral:rRNA from 1 species